ACAAUCAACCACGGGAGCGCAAACCCCGGAACCAUGCGCUGAGAGGACUUCGAGGCCCGAAGUCGACCGUAGAACCUGACCGGGUAAUGCCGGCGAAGGAAGGAAAGUGUCAUCCCCA
rnacentral:ncRNA from 1 species